rnacentral:rRNA from 1 species
UACGUAGGGUGCAGGCGUUAAUCGGAAUUACUGGGCGUAAAGCGUGCGCAGGCGGUUUGCUAAGACAGGUGUGAAAUCCCCCGGGCUUAACCUGGGAACUGCGCUUGUAACUGGCAAGCUAGAGUGUGGCAGGAGGGGGGUGGAAUUCCACGUGUGAGCAGUGAAAUGACGUAGAGAUGUGGAGGAACACCGGAUGGCGCAAGGCAGCCCCCUGGGAACGGUAA